rnacentral:rRNA from 1 species
GACGAACGCUGGCGGCGUGCUUAACCCAUGCAAGUCGAACGAAGUGGCGAACGGGUGAGUAACGCGUAAUCAACCUGCCCUUCAGAGGGGGCCAACAGGUGGAAACGACGGCUAAUAACGCAUACUGACGGAGGGGCGGGCGUCUGAGUAGCUAGUUGGAGGGGUAACGGCCCACGAAGGCGAUGACCAGUAGCCGGUCUGAGAGGAGGACCGGCCACAUUGGGACUGAGACACGGCCCAGACUCCUACGGGAGGCAGCAGUGGGGAAGCUUCCGCAAUGGACGAAAGUCUGACGGGGCAACGCCGCGUGAGUGAUGACGGCCUUCGGGUUGUAAAGCUCUGUUAAUCGGGACGCGGUACCGGAAUAGAAAGCCACGGCUACCUACGUGCCAGCCGCCGCGGUAAUAC